rnacentral:rRNA from 1 species
GACGAACGCUGGCGGCGUGCUUAACACAUGCAAGUCGAGCGAUGAAGCGCCUUCGGGUGUGGAUUAGCGGCGAACGGGUGAGGAACACGUGAGGAAUCUGCCUUUCACUUCGGGAUAACUCCGGGAAACCGGGGCUAAUACCGGAUAUUUUCAACUGGCGGCAUCGCCGGUUGAAGAAAGUUUUUCGGUGAAAGAUGACCUCGCGGCCUAUCAGCUUGUUGGUGAGGUAAUGGCUCACCAAGGCGACGACGGGUAUCCGGCCUGAGAGGGCGACCGGCCACACUGGGACUGAGACACGGCCCAGACUCCUACGGGAGGCAGCGGUGGGGAAUAUUGGGCAAUGGAGGAAACUCUGACCCAGCGACGCCGCGUGAGGGAUGAAGGCCUUCGGGUUGUAAACCUCUUUCAGCAGGGAAUAAGCGAAAGUGAAGGUACCUGCAGAAGAAGCACCGGCUAACUAUGUGCCAGCCGCCGCCGUAA